UGGGGAAUUUUGGACAAUGGGGGCAACCCUGAUCCAGCAAUGCCGCGUGUGUGAAGAAGGCCUUCGGGUUGUAAAGCACUUUUGUCCGGAAAGAAAACGCCGUGGUUAAUACCCGUGGCGGAUGACGGUACCGGAAGAAUAAGCACCGGCUAACUACGUGCCAGCAGCCGCGGUAAUACGUAGGGUGCAAGCGUUAAUCGGAAUUACUGGGCGUAAAGCGUGCGCAGGCGGUCCGCUAAGACAGAUGUGAAAUCCCCGGGCUUAACCUGGGAACUGCAUUUGUGACUGGCGGGCUAGAGUAUGGCAGAGGGGGGUAGAAUUCCACGUGUAGCAGUGAAAUGCGUAGAGAUGUGGAGGAAUACCGAUGGCGAAGGCAGCCCCCUGGGCCAAUACUGACGCUCAUGCACGAAAGCGUGGGGAGCAAACAGGAUUAGAUACCCUGGUAUCCACGCCCUAAAGAU
rnacentral:rRNA from 1 species